CAGAUCUCCUGGCCUCGGCGGUGGGCACGACUCGAUGACCCACUGGCCAGGUCUGAGGGUGCUUGGAAGGGGGAAAAAAGGGUCCAAUCUACGCGACCCUCAAGUGAAGACCGGCCUCACCCCAUUUCCGCACUUUCCAAAUUGCCGGGCGCGGGUCCCUUCGGUUGCGAGACCAAAACUUUGGGAUGAUCCCAGGAGCCAGCCCAGCGGCCUGCAGGCCCUGAUCCCAGUGCGGAGGCGGCAGUACCAGGCGGAGCACCUCUUCGACUUCGCCUACAGCCCGUUGCGUUUAGGAGUUGCGGGGUUGGGGGGAGUGGGUGGAGAGCAGAGACGGCCCGCUUUGUCUAAAAGGCAGAGAGAAGGGGCUUAGGUUGGAACAGAGUCGGUCUGGGUCUCCCAACGGGGGAAGAAGGGGGGGCACCCAUCGGCUAAAGAAAAUAAGUUGGGAAGCCUGUACCACAAGUAUUCCUGGAAGCAAGUGUGGGUGCCAGUGGCCCUCAGCAUGUAACUUUUCGCCCACUGAUGCUGUUGGAAGGGACGUCCCCAUGCUUUAGGUCGCAGGACAGAGCUUGCAGAUGCCUUGGAAACCAGUAGGAGCCAAACUGCGUCCUGGGAGACCCCCAAGCUCUGCACACCUUCCCUCCGCCCUCCCGGCUGUGGCAACGCUCGGGGGUCGUUUAGGGGUCCGCGUGCCUUUUGCUUCGCAGCCCCAGGCCUCGGAUCCCCUCCUCCCGCCCGCCUUCCCAGGCUGGGGAGAAAGAUGGCUAGGCCGCGCGCACACGCUGGGCAGGGUUGGCGGGGCCGCGGGGCCCACCCAGGAGGCGCCCGCGGGGCCCGAAGAGGUCACACCGGGCAUUGCACGCGGGAGGGUGCGCGCCGAGGACUACGGAAGACACCAACCAAAGGCGCCCGGAGGUCGCCAGGCCGCGCCUCCGAUGCCCUCCAACCGAGACCAGAGGCUGGCCGGCUGCGGCCGCGCGGGGAAGCGCCCUGGAGGUCCCAACCCAGCCCGGGCAGGGCUUUCUUCUCCCGUCUGGCCGGUCUCCUCCCCGCUGCCCUCCCUUCCCCCAAAUAAAUAAAUAUUUCCGAGGGCGGCGAACUCGGCGGGGCGCCGGGUCCUGAGCGCCUGGGCGAUAGAUGAACUUCCUGGCGCAUCAAAACUCCCCUCUCGUCCUCCCCGCCGAGCUCAGGAUAUGGGGCGCGCUCGCUUCUCUUCAGAAAAGGAAACGUAGCUCUUCCAAAAAUAUAAAUCAGCUCUGACGUCCAAAUA
rnacentral:antisense_RNA from 1 species